rnacentral:rRNA from 1 species
AAAGAUUAAGCCAUGCAUGUCUAAGUAUAAGCAAUUACAAAGCGAAACUGCGAAUGGCUCAUUAUAUAAGUUAUCGUUUAUUUGAUAGUACCUUACUACAUGGAUAACCGUGGUAAUUCUAGAGCUAAUACAUGCUGAAAACCCCGACUUACGAAGGGGUGUAUUUAUUAGAUACAAAACCAAUGCCCUUCGGGGCUCUCUUGGUGAUUCAUGAUAACUUCUCGAAUCGCACGGCCCCGCGCCGGCGAUGGUUCAUUCAAAUUUCUUCCCUAUCAACUUUCGAUGCUACGGUAUUGUCCUAGCAUGGUUG